rnacentral:rRNA from 1 species
UGGGGAAUUUUGGACAAUGGGCGAAAGCCUGAUCCAGCAAUGCCGCGUGCGGGAAGAAGGCCUUCGGGUUGUAAACCGCUUUUGUCAGGGAAGAAAUCCUUUGAGCUAAUACCUCGGGGGGAUGACGGUACCGGAAGAAUAAGCACCGGCUAACUACGUGCCAGCAGCCGCGGUAAUACGUAGGGUGCAAGCGUUAAUCGGAAUUACUGGGCGUAAAGCGUGCGCAGGCGGUUAUGCAAGACAGAUGUGAAAUCCCCGGGCUCAACCUGGGAAUUGCAUCGGAGACUGCAAGGCUAGAAUCUGGCAGAGGGGGGUAGAAUUCCACGUGUAGCAGUGAAAUGCGUAGAUAUGUGGAGGAACACCGAUGGCGAAGGCAGCCCCCUGGGCCAAGAUUGACGCUCAUGCACGAAAGCGUGGGGAGCAAACA